GGCUGCUGAGCUAGUCCGGUGAUUCAGCGUCAGACUGAAAAUCUGAAGAACCAAGUUCGACUCUUGGAGCAGCCA
rnacentral:tRNA from 1 species